GACGAACGCUGGCGGUAUGCUUAACACAUGCAAGUCGAACGAGACGAGAUGGAAUGAUCCUUCGGGAGAAUGAAAUCUUAGAAAGUGGCGAACGGGUGAGUAACGCGUGGGUAACCUGCCCUAUGGAAAGGAAUAGCCUCGGGAAACUGGGAGUAAUGCCUUAUAAGAUACGUUUGUCGCAUGGCAGAUGUAUUAAACGCUCCGGUGCCAUAGGAUGGACCCGCGUCCCAUUAGCUAGUUGGUGAGAUAACAGCUCACCAAGGCGACGAUGGGUAACCGGUCUGAGAGGGCGAACGGUCACACUGGAACUGAGACACGGUCCAGACUCCUACGGGAGGCAGCAGUGGGGAAUAUUGCGCAAUGGGGGCAACCCUGACGCAGCAAUACCGCGUGAGUGAAGAAGGUUUUCGGAUCGUAAAGCUCUGUUAUUGGGGAAGAAAAAGACGGUACCCAAGGAGAAAGUCCCGGCUAACUACGUG
rnacentral:rRNA from 1 species